rnacentral:rRNA from 1 species
UACGUAGGGUACGAGCGUUGUCCGGAAUUAUUGGGCGUAAAGAGCUCGUAGGUGGUUGGUCACGUCUGCUGUGGAAACGCAACGCUUAACGUUGCGCGGGCAGUGGGUACGGGCUGACUAGAGUGCAGUAGGGGAGUCUGGAAUUCCUGGUGUAGCGGUGAAAUGCGCAGAUAUCAGGAGGAACACCGGUGGCGAAGGCGGGACUCUGGGCUGUAACUGACACUGAUGUGCGAAAGCGUGGGGAUCAAACAGGAUUAGAUA